AAAAAACCUCGACUGAGAUCAGGUGGCUGCAAGGUCUUUUGAAGUCUCACCGAAUCGUGAAACAUUAAGGUGUUGUGGGACAUAAUUUCUUUCUUUACCGUAGCCUUGAGGCGACAAAAUUUAUAACCCUGAUUCCAGUUUUUCUCUUUCUGAUGCACAGAUGGAAUGAUCAGAUAUUCAACUUUGAGGAAGCUAAGAGCCUGAAAAAUCACUCAUCAUCAGAACUUGUUCCGCUAGAAUUAGAUAAAGAGGUCUAGCAGACGAGGAACACAAGUCAAUGAUAGUAGGUGAUUAUUUUAGGGGGAAAAAGAAUGCUUGUAGUAGUUACAUUACCAAGAAAAUGAAAUAAUUCCACCUUUUUAUAUGCACUUCGAGUUCAAUGCUGAUGCUCAUAAUUCCCUUGAAUAAAACAUAAUCUCUUGCUUUUAUCUUGUCAAUUCAAUAUUUUGCAAAAUUUUGGAACAAGUUGAAAAGUCUGUAUGUUUCUCUUUUUAGGACAUUGGAAGACGAGUUUAUAUAUGUUUUAUAGUUUCAUAAUUUCAUGCUUACUAUCUCUUUCCACAAAUUCAGGUGUGAGUUGCAUUCAUUUAAACUCCUUUCAAAGAUUCAAGCAGAACUUACCGACUCAAUUGCACACAUCAAUUUUCGGCACAUUCCCUUGCCCCUAUGGAUUUCCCUUGUCGCAAUAAAUGGCAUCUCCGCCAGCUUCAUUCCAUGAAUUCUUAAGGGCAUUCAGAGAACAGCAUAAGACAAAUAUACAGGUACACUUGCUACAACAAACACAAUAUUUUUAUGUACACAUAUAUGUGAAAUUAGAUUAAUAUACCUUAGGGAUGCUGCAGAGAUAAUUUCUCCAUCCUUUUCCAAUACUGCGGUGUAAAAGCCUCUAAAAUUGAUCCGAGUAUAGUUUGACCUGCAAAUUUCUUGUUUUUUUUUUAAAUUACCAUGCUAGAAGAAAGAUUAUUUCAAUGGAUUUAUUUCAAUUAUAGUAGAAUAGAUAUAGCACUCACCCGCAAUUAUAUACUAUACUCUGUAUUAUAUCAAUCUUAGUGUGUCGAUCAGUGAUGGGUUCGAAGCUGUCCUUCAUAACACUCCGUGCUAUUGCUAGCUUUGAGUGACAUUCAAUUCUUUUAUAGAAAUCAUGUACUCCAUCAUCAGAGUACUCUUCAUCCAUUCGCUUUAGUAAAGUCCAAGUGUAUCUGUCAUCUAGCUUAUUAUUCACCCCAACCAUCAUCUCUAGUUUCUCACAAACCUUAACAAACAACAAUCAGUUUAGUCAUUUCAAAAAAUUCCCCCUUCUUAAAAGUAAAAAGAAUGUGCAUUGGGUACAACUUAUUUUAUUUUAUUCUGAGCACAAAUGACACUUAAAACUACAACUCUUUAUAAUGCGUCAUUGUGUUUGUAGGACUAGAAUGCAGGACUAAAAGAGUACGACUCUGAAUUGGGAGAGAGCUUAAAAAGUUAGAACUUAGAAGAAAUACCUCUUUGCAGCUUUGCUCACAAAAUGGGGGACAAGGAGGACUAUUAACAUCGAUGAGUAUAGGUUCUCUCUCCUGAUAGCAUUCCCAAUGAUCUACAUAACAAAAACAUUUAACACUCUUAUUUCAGCCUUAGCCUUCUUUUCUAUAAAAUUGUGCAUUCCUGCUUCAAUUCCAAACCAAGUACUCAAGAAUUAGAAAAUCAAUCUACAUACAGUUCUUCUCGCAUUGAGAACACGUGAGCAAAUAAUCGUUCUCACGAGCAGGAUCCCCACACAAUUUGCAAAUGCAAUAAGGGCAAAGCCAAGAAUUUUCAGGGAUCUCCUGCAAAAACCAAAAUUUAAGAAUUUACCAAUUUUUUAUGGUAAUAGUCUAAUCGAAUUGGACCAAAUUAAGUAAUUGCUUAAAAAUUAAGCAAAUAAAUAGACUGACCUCCAUAUCCAUACAGCGGUGAUGGUAAGUUGAAUUGCAUUUGUCACAGCACAUCAAUUCUCCCCCGUCUGCACAGAUCAUACACGCGUCAUCAUAAAUGUCACUCGAACCACCUUCACCCUCAAUUGUGUUGAAUUUGUGGCGUGCUGAUUCUCUAGGUUGAUUCCAGGCUUCAUUCAUGCAGGAGAGGAGCGAACUUCGUGUCUCCAUGAUGAAAAUGUUCUCAAAAGGCUUUCCAAUUUCCCAACCGGCAUGAGCCUGGAAAUGCUCUGCUGUCAAAACCUGGAUGCAACAAACGCAUAAUAUGCCAGCCCUGGUAAUUUUCCCUUCCUUUAAGGGUAUUUUGGCAUUGUUGUCCAAAUAACAAACAGGUGCAUUUUCUUGAACUCUUUUGCAGUCUAUUAACCAUGACAAUAUUGUUUUUUCAUUUUCCCUCUUCUUUGAAGGACGACCGCGUCUUCCCUUAGAUACCGGAGUCCUCACUGGUGGUUCAUUUGCAACAAAAUUACUAGAAUUUUCUGAAGUGUUUGAACUAUUGCUCAAGUUCUUGGAUAUUCCAGCCAUUUC
rnacentral:lncRNA from 1 species